AUUGAACGCUGGCGGCAUGCCUUACACAUGCAAGUCGAACGGUAACAGGUCUUCGGAUGCUGACGAGUGGCGAACGGGUGAGUAAUACAUCGGAACGUGCCUAGUAGUGGGGGAUAACUACUCGAAAGAGUGGCUAAUACCGCAUGAGAUCUACGGAUGAAAGCAGGGGAUCGCAAGACCUUGUGCUACUAGGGCGGCCGAUGGCAGAUUAGGUAGUUGGUGGGAUAAAAGCUUACCAAGCCGACGAUCUGUAGCCGGUCUGAGAGGACGACCAGCCACACUGGGACUGAGACACGGCCCAGACUCCUACGGGAGGCAGCAGUGGGGAAUUUUGGACAAUGGGCGCAAGCCUGAUCCAGCAAUGCCGCGUGCAGGAAGAAGGCCUUCGGGUUGUAAACUGCUUUUGUACGGAACGAAACGGUCCUGGUUAAUACCUGGGGCUAAUGACGGUACCGUAAGAAUAAGCACCGGCUAACUACGUGCCAGCCGCCGCCGUAAUAC
rnacentral:rRNA from 1 species